CGGGGCCCCCGGGACCGGGGUGUUCCCCGGGCUGGAGUCCCCCCGUGGGGAGCGCGGAGCUCGAUUCGGCCGGGCCGGGGGCUUCGAGGGGCGGUACCGCCCGGGCCCCGCCGCUCGCCGAGGUGAGAUAGCCCUGCCGGGGUCCUGGGGAUCUCGGGGUCCCCCCGCUGUCCCCAGGGUUCCGCAGCGCCUCCAGCCAUGGGGUCAACGCCUCUGGCCCUGAGUGGCCUGGGGGCCAGUGUGUGAAGGGAACAGCAUCCCGAGGAUGGAUGGAUGGAUGGAUGGAUGGAUGGAUGGAUGGAUGGAUGGAUGGAUGGAUCCAUCCCAGAUUUCCAGGUUGGCUCUUAGCCACUUCCACACCUUUGGAGUGUCCCAGGUUUCUGGAGCCUGGAGCUCCAGUCUCGUGGUAAGGAAGGGGAGACAGCCCUGCUGCCCCACAGCUGAACAUCCCAGACGGGUUAUAAGCAAGCAUCACUCGGAGCAGACAGAAAACAGCCGUCCCUGUAUUGCACGCUCUGGCUGACAGCUCGGGACGGGAAGCGAUCUCCUCUUACAAAUUACAGGAGCCCGUUUACACAGGGCAGACACUUCCCGUUCCACAGAGACCAGAGCGAGACUGUGAACGGCAGCAGCUCAGAGCCCCCGCUUCCCUCCGAGCUCUCCAAACCUUCCAGACGUGCUGCGGGAAGAACUCCACACCGCUGGGCACCACGGCCUCCCACAGCACCCUGCCACAGCCAGAGACUGCUCGGGUGCACGGCUGUGGCUGCUGGAGCCCGAGCACAGGUGUGGGAUGGUCCAGAGCUCUCACAGGACAGCUCUUCAUGCUGAGUUGUCCUGCUCCAUCGUUUCAUCUGUGUCUGGGAGCUGAGCAGUCCUGGGUAAAGAUGUGGAAAGCUCUGACAGGGAACACAGAGUAGGAGUGGAAAUACUGGAGGCAAACCUUCGGUUUUCAGCGCCUACUGAACAUGUGCCUCAUCAUUCUCUUCCCCAAGUUAGCGCAGAUCAGACUCUUCAAGGCACAGCGCCUUGCAGUGAGCUUUGGUGGCUGCAAUCUCCUCCUAAUCCAGGCUUGUUUCAGGGAAAACAGGCAAUUUUAUAUCCCUUUGAUAUGGGUCUUAGCUGCUAAUGAUGCUAGGAAUUAAAAAGAAAUGGCCAUAGAAAUACACAACUGUGAAAAAUUAAAAUAGUGAAUUUAAUUCUGCCAAUUCCAACAAAAUUGGUAAUUCCCUGAAAAACAAACCUUGCACAGAAAACACAGAACAGAAAUGGUUUCAUCUUGACAGCUGGUGAAAACAACUGGGUGAAAAGGUGAAAGGAAUAUUUCUGACUUCUCUGGAAAACACAAGGUUUCACACAUCCUGAAAAUGCCCUAUUUUUUACUAAAUGGGUCGGUUUGUGAGGCAGUGAUUGUAAAUGCUCUGCAAGGAAAGCACAGGUUUGUGCUCUGAACUGCAGAUGCCAAAUGUCUGGUUUUCAGAAAGCACUGAUGCUUCCCUAAAGAAAAAGCUGGGACUUUAAAAAUCAUAGAAACAUGGAAUGGUUUGGGCUGGAAGGGAGACUCAAAGCUCAUCUCACUAUAAGCCCCCACCAGAGCAGGGACACAUUCCACUAGACCAGCCCAGAAACCUGAAGAACAGCAAGAAAAGAUGUAUUAUUUGUAAGAAUCAUUCUCCUGGCUUGCCCAGUGGCCCUGGUCUGGGCUCCAGGGCGAUGCAGAGUCCGACGGAAGGGCGCGAGGCUGCGGCUGUCGCCAGGCGUGUGGAGGGAGCUGGCUGGACAGCCUGGCUCAGCUCCUCAGCACUGAAACACUCUUUCCAAAGCAAUACCAAAAAAGGUUUGUUUCUAGGUCAGGACCUCAGCACUCAAUUUUAACCAGGGGCUGACAGUCCAAUCUGAACACAGCUGUAAAAUGGAUUCGCGGGAGAAGCUCUGGCAUUCCUUUUGUAAUUAGAAAACAGCCACUGAGGCGUGUGCCUUUAAAGGUGAAAGCUAUUUUUGACAUAAAAAUUAGCACGUAGUUCCUCUGUCAUCCCUCGGCUGCUGCGCUGGGAGCUGUGAGUGAACAAUCCAAAGAUAAGCAAGAAGUAUAAACAUGCUGAAUUACACAAAUACGUAGAAGGGGAUCAGGUUUAAUUUGUUUUAUUCUCUGACAGUUAGGAGACAAGGAGAUUUAUUCUUACACUUUUUCUCCUAAAAAGCACUGGUUAAAAGGUCCACUUAAGCACUGAAACCCCAAUGGCAUUUAAAAACUUGAAGAGCUUUUAAUAGCUACCUUUUGAAAUUACUGUUAAAUCUAUUUUUGAGAUGGAUAAACUGAGCUACCAAUGAAGCAGGGCAGGAGUUUUUGGAAGGGCCCAGCAGAGAGAAACUGUCAUUCAUUUCUCAACAACUCAGCUCCUGUACAGGGACCCUGAGAUAAAAACUACCACAGUGCUCGAUGUUUUAACAACCUGAGCGUUCUUCAAAUUCCCAUUUUCUCUCUUUGGUGGGAAUCUAACCCCGACAGCCUUGAAAAUGAACCCCAGGCAGUUUUCAGGAUAGGGCUCAGAGUGGCUGUUUCUAAAAUAAAAGUGAGGGAAGAGCGAGCAGAACUUGGAGGCUUAUCAGCACCCGGAAUGCCCCGGCUAAUCCUCGGCAGCCCCGGCCCCUUUAUGUAACCUGGGAUUGCUGCAGCUCAACAGCUUACUGGGGUCUGGGUGGUUUUCUUUAAACCUCUUGUGGACAAAUGCAAACACAUGAAAUACUUCUUUCUUCUGCCUCUCUAAGGAAAAAAUUGUUGCAAGAGGAAAAAAAGUGUUUUAUUUGUAUCGAUGGCUAAUAGAAUUAAACUUGCAUGCUGAGACUAAAACGUGUUUCUCUCUGAUCCAUCACGACUGAACAGAACUUUCCCAAUUUACAAUGCUCAGGUGUAACUCUUGAAAAAAAAGGUUGAAUCCCAAAUUUCUCUUCACCCUGAACACUCUGUGGAGGUGUUGGGGUGUUCCAAGUAAAGAGAAAGCCAGCCCCUUGAUAGCCUGUACCCCAUGUCUGGCAGCGUGGCUGGCUGUGCUGCAAUACUUACGUCCCUGUGGCCACCUCCCCGCGCUCUCCUUGCCCGGAGGAUGCCUCUCCGUGCCCUCCAUCUGACUGCUCUGACUUUCCACAGCACACAUCCUUCCAAGGCAAAAUUCAGCUCUCAAGCUGUCGGCCGGUCUCAGCCAUUCACCUCACGCUGAAUGCUUACGGAAACUUCAGAAGGAAAAAAAUAAACCCCCUAUUGAACUCCUUGCAAUCGGAGAACUGAAUGGGCUCGAUAUAAACCCCACUCGAACCAGCGGCAGCAAUAGGCUUCCCUGGAUGUUGGAUUCCAUCCAGCUUAAAAGUUUCCAUGAAAUAAACUAGGCUAAGCGCAUCAGCUGCAUAGGAACUAACUCGGUGUAACAGGAGCAUCUGUUCUUCGCGUCCACCAUUUUCUUAGAGCCUGACUCGGCGGCGCUGCGGCGCGAGGUGCCAGCGGAUCCCCGGCCGGGCACGGACACGGGUUAGCAGGGAGCAUGCACGUCGUACAAACUACUGCACCAGCUCAGGGAUACCCAAAUUUCACCUACGGGUCAUCGCUGUGGUUACCCAGACCCAGAAGGUUAUGCCUACUUUGGGAGACUGGUGCGAGGUGGUGUCGUGGCCAGGGAUGGCAGAGAUGGCUGGGGAACUACAGGUCCCAACAUGCAGGACGGUGUGGAGGUGGCAGCGGGGCCGGGGCAGCGGGGCUGGGGACAUGCUGGCGGGCUGGCCGUGCGCGCCGGGCUCUACACAGGGCCAAAACAAAGACCUCUACACACCUGGAGUAAGAACAGUGGUAACAAAGUCAUAGCUACAUAUUCUUCUCUACAUUUUUGUUUAUUGAGACAAACUAAUUAAAAGGCACAAACAUAGGGCAUAUGUUUACAUGGACAUUAUAACAAACAUAUACAUUAAAAGUGUAGGAAUGUGUUUCCUUUCUGCUAAACAGAAAGUUCCUAAGCUUUUAUAUAUACAAAAGUUGUACAAUUUGAUGUCCUAAAGUACAAAAGAUCAUUUAUAAAAUUAUUUUACACUAAGCUCUAUUAUUUUUUUUGUUUGUUUUUGUUUUACUAUGUAGUCCAAGCCCCUAGAACAGUUCCACGUAAGGAUACAGAUACCUGUCACCUGAGCCAGCAGCCUGGCAAUCACUGCUCGCACGGACACGGCCGGGGAGGAACGGAAGCAGUCCAGUGUGACUGGGCAGUCCUGCUAGCACUCUGUGAAAAUGCACACGCUAAUCUCCAGAGCUCUCAACUUCAUUAAGAUAAAAACAUCUCAACUGUAAUUUCUUUUUUUUUUUUUUCCUCUUUUUUUUUUUUUUUUUUAUUUAAUGUAGAGGUUGGGUUUAGGGUGUUUUGUUGUUUUUUUUAAACAAAGUUUUAAAAAUGUGAAUAUGUGACAUGAUAGUCUAAAAAGUAUAUCUGUUUCCCUAGACUUUGCUUUCUACUUUAUGUACAGAUAAACAGGUUAAGAAAAAAAAGCACAUGUAGCUUAAACAUGUGUGACCAUUUAUGAGCAGUUCUGGGCUGGACAGCUCAGCACCCCAGAACUCCCACAAAUUGAUAGAAAUGUGUUAACACAACAGAAGAAUAACGUAAAAAUGAUGAUGUUUGCAAAUAUUUACAAAGUUGAACAGAUUUGCACAACACUUGAUUAAGAAAUAGGGGAGAAAUUAAAAGACGCUCUCUGCUUGUCCUGGAGGGGCAUCCUACCUAGUUAGUGGUUAGAAUAAAAACUGUAUACAAUUUAAUAUAAGACAAAACUUCUAGUGAACAACUAACACGUCUGUCCCCUGCUGAAACAACAGCAGGCUCUGACUGGGAGGCAGAGGGCAUAAAAAUCACACCCAGGGCCUCCAGAAUCUUCCAGCUUAAAGCAAUUUUCCUUAAGUUUCCAAGCACUCCUUUUGCUCCUAGAUAAGAGUCCCAUGGGGGUCUGACUGUUCAGAGACCAUGUUUACAUACAUUUCGACUCCUCUUCUGUCAGCCAUGGCUGUUUCUCACCAAACAAUAACAGGUUUUUUUAAAAAAAUGUUGACUACAAUGCUCUAUUCCCUUAGGGUAAUAUGUUGGGUAAUAUUUACAUCUCCAAAUAUCAGGUCACAAUCCCUAUUAUAUGUUGAAGUUAGAAUGAUAAGUUAUCAUAUGCUUUGCAUAUCAGAGCUGGUAUCACCUUUCCCAUAGGGAAUGCUGCCUGAAAUUACCAUAUUCCCAAAGGUAAAAUGCAUAUUUUCUCCAAAAAUGCAUUUUUUUUUUUUUAAUGACAACAUUGUAAUGCAUUUACUCAUUAAAAAAAAAACAAAA